GGUCGGAGCUUUGUUGGAAAUGGUCAGAACCAAUUUAAUGAGGAAAAUGGUUCAACCCAGGAUAACGACUUCAGUGGAGGAAGACGUGGCAGAGGAGGCUUCCGUGAAGGUAUUUUAUAAAGUAAAGUUUCAUUUGGAAUGUGGCUUAACCCUAUUUA